CUCGUUGCAUUUGGAAGAUUGAUAGCCCAGUACAUAUUUGGAUACAGAAAAAGGUAGUAUCCGGAGACACCUCGUAAUUUUCACAGUUGCUUAUCAACUCUAGCAUUAAGGCAAUGUUCCAACGUCAACCAAUAAUGAAGGCCAAUUGCACAUCACAUCACACAACAAUAACGAGGAAAAAAUAUAUACGUUUUCUGUUGGCAGUGU
rnacentral:misc_RNA from 1 species